AGAUCCGACUGCUAUCCGGGUAAGACUAAGCCAUGCCAGUUGAAUGGUAUCGCAGAUACCAUAGCAUACUGCUCAGUAACAAGUGAUCAACUUACCCUUCAGAGGGGCAUAACCUCGGGAAACUGAGGCUAAUUCCCCAUAGUUGGAGCGUCCUGGAAUGGUGUUCCAUCGAAAGAUAAGACGUAAUGUCGUCGGUUCGCUGAAGGAUAGGAUCGCUCUCGAUUACGGUAGUUGGUGAGAUAAUGGCUCACCAAGCCUAUGAUCGAUAAGGGCCGUGAGAGCGGGAGCCCUGAGAUGGAUACUGAGACAAUGAUCCAGGCCUUACGAGGCGCAGCAGGCGCGAAAACUUUACAAUACACGCAAGUGUGAUAAGGUUACCCGGAGUGCCGAGAGAAAAACUUUCGGCUGUUAUAGGUGUGUAAACUACCCUAUGAGAAAGGAGAGGGCAAGGCUGGUGCCAGCCGCCGCGGUAAAACCAGCUCUUCAAGUGGUCGGGACUUUUAUUGGGCUUAAAGUGUCCGUAGCCGGUUUGAUAAGUUCCUGGUUAAAUCUGGCAGCUUAACUGUCGGUUCGCUAGGAAUACUAUCUUACUAGAGGGUGGGAAAGGUCUGAGGUACUCCAGGGGUAGCGGUGAAAUGCGAUAAUCCUUGGGGGACCACCAGUGGCGAAGGCGUCAGACUGGAACACGCCUGACGGUGAGGGACGAAAGCCAGGGGAGCGAACGGGAUUAGAUACCCCGGUAGUCCUGGCUGUAAACGAUGCGUGCUAGGUGUUGGGUAGGGCUCGGAGCUGUAUCAUGCCAAGGGAACU
rnacentral:rRNA from 1 species